AGUGGCAGACGGGUGAGUAACGCGUGGGAACAUACCCUUUCCUGCGGAAUAGCUCCGGGAAACUGGAAUUAAUACCGCAUACGCCCUACGGGGGAAAGAUUUAUCGGGGAAGGAUUGGCCCGCGUUGGAUUAGCUAGUUGGUGGGGUAAAGGCCUACCAAGGCGACGAUCCAUAGCUGGUCUGAGAGGAUGAUCAGCCACAUUGGGACUGAGACACGGCCCAAACUCCUACGGGAGGCAGCAGUGGGGAAUAUUGGACAAUGGGCGCAAGCCUGAUCCAGCCAUGCCGCGUGAGUGAUGAAGGCCUUAGGGUUGUAAAGCUCUUUCACCGGAGAAGAUAAUGACGGUAUCCGGAGAAGAAGCCCCGGCUAACUUCGUGCCAGCAGCCGCGGUAAUACGAAGGGGGCUAGCGUUGUUCGGAAUUACUGGGCGUAAAGCGCACGUAGGCGGAUAUUUAAGUCAGGGGUGAAAUCCCAGAGCUCAACUCUGGAACUGCCUUUGAUACUGGGUAUCUUGAGUAUGGAAGAGGUAAGUGGAAUUCCGAGUGUAGAGGUGAAAUUCGUAUAUAUUCGGAGGAACACCAGUGGCGAA
rnacentral:rRNA from 1 species